ACAAUGUAAUAGGUUUUUUCUAUUAUAAGACGUUUUAAAUUCAAAUUUUAACUAAACCCGUAAAAAAUCCAUUUCCCCUAAACCCAUUUCAAAAUAUGUUUAACCGAACUUCACCCAAAAUUAUGUUUCAUCAGUAUACUAUAGUACCUAUAUGUAUAUCUUACAUUCCUAAUUCUCUACAACAGUGACACGUCCGCCAUGAAAAUGAAUAACCAUGGUUAUAAAC